rnacentral:rRNA from 1 species
CCUACGGGAGGCAGCAGUGGGGAAUAUUGCACAAUGGGCGAAAGCCUGAUGCAGCGACGCCGCGUGAGGGAUGACGGCCUUCGGGUUGUAAACCUCUUUCAGUAGGGAAGAAGCGAAAGUGACGGUACCUGCAGAAGAAGCGCCGGCUAACUACGUACCAGCAGCCGCGGUAAUACGUAGGGCGCAAGCGUUGUCCGGAAUUAUUGGGCGUAAAGAGCUUGUAGGUGGCUUGUCGCGUCUGCCGUGAAAACCCGAGGCUCAACCUCGGGCGUGCGGUGGGUACGGGCAGGCUAGAGUGUGGUAGGGGAGACUGGAAUUCCUGGUGUAGCGGUGAAAUGCGCAGAUAUCAGGAAGAACACCGAUGGCGAAGGCAGGUCUCUGGGCCAUUACUGACACUGAGAAGCGAAAGCAUGGGUAGCGAACAGGAUUAGAUACCCUGGUAGUCCAUGCCGUAAACGUUGGGCACUAGGUGUGGGGGACAUUCCACGUUCUCCGCGCCGUAGCUAACGCAUUAAGUGCCCCGCCUGGGGAGUACGGCCGCAAGGCUAAAACUCAAAGGAAUUGACGGGGGCCCGCACAAGCGGCGGAGCAUGCUGAUUAAUUCGAUGCAACGCGAAGAACCUUAC